rnacentral:rRNA from 1 species
AAAUUGAAGAGUUUGAUCAUGGCUCAGAUUGAACGCUGGCGGCAGGCCUAACACAUGCAAGUCGAGCGGUAGCACAGAGAGCUUGCUCUCGGGUGACGAGCGGCGGACGGGUGAGUAAUGUCUGGGAAACUGCCUGAUGGAGGGGGAUAACUACUGGAAACGGUAGCUAAUACCGCAUAAUGUCGCAAGACCAAAGUGGGGGACCUUCGGGCCUCAUGCCAUCAGAUGUGCCCAGAUGGGAUUAGCUAGUAGGUGGGGUAACGGCUCACCUAGGCGACGAUCCCUAGCUGGUCUGAGAGGAUGACCAGCCACACUGGAACUGAGACACGGUCCAGACUCCUACGGGAGGCAGCAGUGGGGAAUAUUGCACAAUGGGCGCAAGCCUGAUGCAGCCAUGCCGCGUGUGUGAAGAAGGCCUUCGGGUUGUAAAGCACUUUCAGCGGGGAGGAAGGCGUUAAGGUUAAUAACCUUGGCGAUUGACGUUACCCGCAGAAGAAGCACCGGCUAACUCCGUGCCAGCAGCCGCGGUAAUACGGAGGGUGCAAGCGUUAAUCGGAAUUACUGGGCGUAAAGCGCACGCAGGCGGUCUGUCAAGUCGGAUGUGAAAUCCCCGGGCUCAACCUGGGAACUGCAUUCGAAACUGGCAGGCUAGAGUCUUGUAGAGGGGGGUAGAAUUCCAGGUGUAGCGGUGAAAUGCGUAGAGAUCUGGAGGAAUACCGGUGGCGAAGGCGGCCCCCUGGACAAAGACUGACGCUCAGGUGCGAAAGCGUGGGGAGCAAACAGGAUUAGAUACCCUGGUAGUCCACGCCGUAAACGAUGUCGAUUUGGAGGUUGUGCCCUUGAGGCGUGGCUUCCGGAGCUAACGCGUUAAAUCGACCGCCUGGGGAGUACGGCCGCAAGGUUAAAACUCAAAUGAAUUGACGGGGGCCCGCACAAGCGGUGGAGCAUGUGGUUUAAUUCGAUGCAACGCGAAGAACCUUACCUGGUCUUGACAUCCACAGAACUUUCCAGAGAUGGAUUGGUGCCUUCGGGAACUGUGAGACAGGUGCUGCAUGGCUGUCGUCAGCUCGUGUUGUGAAAUGUUGGGUUAAGUCCCGCAACGAGCGCAACCCUUAUCCUUUGUUGCCAGCGGUCGGCCGGGAACUCAAAGGAGACUGCCAGUGAUAAACUGGAGGAAGGUGGGGAUGACGUCAAGUCAUCAUGGCCCUUACGACCAGGGCUACACACGUGCUACAAUGGCAUAUACAAAGAGAAGCGACCUCGCGAGAGCAAGCGGACCUCAUAAAGUAUGUCGUAGUCCGGAUUGGAGUCUGCAACUCGACUCCAUGAAGUCGGAAUCGCUAGUAAUCGUAGAUCAGAAUGCUACGGUGAAUACGUUCCCGGGCCUUGUACACACCGCCCGUCACACCAUGGGAGUGGGUUGCAAAAGAAGUAGGUAGCUUAACCUUCGGGAGGGCGCUUACCACUUUGUGAUUCAUGACUGGGGUGAAGUCGUAACAAGGUAACCGUAGGGGAACCUGCGGUUGGAUCACCUCCUUACCUUAAAGAA